GACGAACGCUGGCGGCGUGCUUAACACAUGCAAGUCGAACGGAAAGGCUCCAGCUUGCUGGCGUACUCGAGUGGCGAACGGGUGAGUAACACGUGGGUAAUCUGCCCUGCACUCUGGGAUAAGCCUGGGAAACUGGGUCUAAUACUGGAUAUGACCUUUCUCCUUAUGGGGUUUGGUGGAAAGUUUUUCGGUGUAGGAUGAGCCCGCGGCCUAUCAGCUUGUUGGUGGGGUGAUGGCCUACCAAGGCGACGACGGGUAGCCGGCCUGAGAGGGUGAUCGGCCACAUUGGGACUGAGAUACGGCCCAGACGCCUACGGGAGGCAGCAGUGGGGAAUAUUGCACAAUGGGCGGAAGCCUGAGGCAGCGACGCCGCGUGAGGGAUGACGGCCUUCGGGUUGUAAACCUCUUUCAGCAGGGACGAAGCGUAAGUGACGGUACCUGCAGAAGAAGCACCGGCUAACUACGUG
rnacentral:rRNA from 1 species